rnacentral:rRNA from 1 species
GAUGAACGCUGGCGGCGUGGCUUAACACAUGCAAGUCGAACGGACUUUACAUGAAGCCUAGCGAAUGUAAAGUUAGUGGCGGACGGGUGAGUAACGCGUGGGUAACCUGCCUCGUACAGGGGGAUAACACUUGGAAAUAGGUGCUAAUACCGCAUAAGCGCACAGCUUCGCAUGAAGCAGUGUGAAAAAACUCCGGUGGUACGAGAUGGACCCGCGUCUGAUUAGCUAGUUGGUGAGGUAACGGCCCACCAAGGCGACGAUCAGUAGCCGGCCUGAGAGGGUGAACGGCCACAUUGGGACUGAGACACGGCCCAA